UACGAAGGGGACAAGCGUUGUUCGGAAUUAUUGGGCGUAAAGGGCGCGUAGGCGGACUUGUAAGUCGAUUGUGAAAUCCCUGGGCUCAACCCGGGAACUGCAGUCGAAACUGCAAGUCUUGAAUGCUCGAGAGGAUGGUAGAAUUCCUGGUGUAGCGGUGGAAUGCGCAGAUAUCAGGAGGAACACCGAUGGCGAAGGCAGGUCUCUGGGCCAUUACUGACACUGAGAAGCGAAAGCAUGGGGAGCGAACAGG
rnacentral:rRNA from 1 species